UGAGGAAUAUUGGACAAUGGGCGCAAGCCUGAUCCAGCCAUGCCGCGUGCAGGAUGACGGUCCUAUGGAUUGUAAACUGCUUUUGUACAGGAAGAAACAGUUCUACGUGUAGAACCUUGACGGUACUGUAAGAAUAAGGAUCGGCUAACUCCGUGCCAGCAGCCGCGGUAAUACGGAGGAUCCAAGCGUUAUCCGGAAUCAUUGGGUUUAAAGGGUCCGUAGGCGGUUAGAUAAGUCAGUGGUGAAAGCCCAUCGCUCAACGGUGGAACGACCAUUGAUACUGUCUGACUUGAAUUAUUAGGAAGUAACUAGAAUAUGUAGUGUAGCGGUGAAAUGCUUAGAGAUUACAUGGAAUACCAAUUGCGAAGGCAGGUUACUACUAAUGGAUUGACGCUGAUGGACGAAAGCGUGGGUAGCGAACAGGAUUAGAUACCCAUGUAGUCCCUGAGCGGGCUGGCAAGGCGCAU
rnacentral:rRNA from 1 species